rnacentral:lncRNA from 1 species
GACAACAUCCAGCCUCCGUCUCUCAAUAAAUAAAUGGGACAAUUUUGUCCACAAGGGGACAUUUGGCAAUAUUUGGAGGCAUCUGAGGGAAGGGGGCGUGCUGCUAUCUAACGGGUAGAGGCCAGGGGUUCUGCUAAACAUCCUAUAUGAUGCAUAAAACAGCUGCACACAAAGAAUUGUCCAGUCCAAAAUACCUUCAGUACUUACGCUGAGAAACCCUGUUCUACAGAUAUAGAGAUGAAGAAGAGACAGUAUCUGUCUUGAAAAAGCUUACUGUCUAGUGGGUGAAUGCAAGGUGGAAACAAAGCUAUGUCCAAGAUGCUCCAGGUGCAGAGAAGAAGAGGGGAUGCUUAAGUAAAAAUAUUGGAAGAUAGGAGCUUGCCAUGGGUACUCAGGAUGGAAAGAAAUGAUUUUAUGUAGAGGGAAGAGCACGGGAAAACAUUUAAAUAGGUGCAAAGCAUUUUGGAGUCUAAGAGGUGCUAGUAGUUGAGAAUUGUUAGAGCUCAGGCUGCCGGUCGCGGGGAAGGCAGGCGCGAAGGGGUGCAGGGAAGAAGGAGGAGGCGGCGGCAGUGGCGGUGGCCAUGGCAGAAGCGGAAACAGGAGCAGCAGCAGCAGCAGCAGCGGCAGGAGAGGCACACAGGAGCCAGAUCCUAAAGGCUUUGUAUGCCACAUUAGGAAAGAAUUUGGAAUACAGCUUCUGUUUGGAAAACAUUUUCUGUAACCAGCCCGACACACAGCCAAGGGCAGCAAAGCCUUCUAUGUUUACAGAGCCAAAAGGAUGCCGAAGGCCCUGGAAGUUGAAAAUCAAGACUGGCUGCUGUAAAGCAGACCAUCUCAGACGUAUUCUCAUUCCUGACAAAUACCCACCCACCAGCAGGACUGGGAGACACAUGGCAACCAGAGCAAGUUGUCAAAACUUAUCAUUAUAAAACGUCCAUCUUACAAAAGUA